CAAGAGCAUAUAUUAAAGUUGUUGCAGUUAAAAAGCUCGUAGUUGGAUUUCUGGUAUAAUGCGCCUGGCCCGCGGCUAUUUAAGCCUGUGAGUGCCGGUGUGCGUUUGCCAUCCUUCUAGAAAACGUUUCUACCCUUCACUGGGCCGGACUCGCGAUCUAGAUCUUUUACUUUGAAAAAAUUAGAGUGUUUAAAGCAGGCUUUUGCUAUGAAUACAUUAGCAUGGAAUAAUAAUCUAGGACUUCGGUUCUAUUUUGUUUGGUUUCUUAGUACUGAAGUAAUGAUUGAUAGGGAGUAGUUGGGGGUUGGCUAGUAUUGGUCCGGCCGAGAGGUGAAAUUCUUGGAUUCGGUCAAGACUAACUUAUGCGAAAGCAUUCACCAAGGAUGUCUUCUUUUAAUUCAAGAACGAAAGUUAGGGGGAGUCGAAGACGAUUAGAUACCGU
rnacentral:rRNA from 1 species